rnacentral:rRNA from 1 species
CGCGAAAACUCCGCAAUACGCGAAGGCGUGACGGGGUCAUUCCGAGUGCCGUCCGCUGAGGAUGGCUUUUCCCCAUUGUAGAUAGCUGGGGGAAUAAGGAGAGGGCAAGUCUGGUGUCAGCCGCCGCGGUAAUACCAGCUCUUCGAGUGGUGGGGAUGUUUAUUGGGCCUGAAGCAUCCGUAGCCAGCUGAGCAAGUCCCCUGUUAAAUCCAGCGAUUUAAUCGUUGGAUUGCGGGGGAUACUGUUCGGCUAGGGGGUGGGAGAGGCCGACGGUAUUCCUGGGGUAGGGGUGAAAUCCUAUAAUCCCGGGAGGACCACCAGUGGCGAAGGCUGUCGGCUAGAACAUGCCCGACGGUGAGGGAUGAAAGCUGGGGGAGCGAACCG